GACGAACGCUGGCGGCGUGCUUAACACAUGCAAGUCGAACGAUGAAGCCUAGCUUGCUGGGUGGAUUAGUGGCGAACGGGUGAGUAACACGUGAGUAACCUGCCCUGGACUCUGGGAUAAGCGUUGGAAACGACGUCUAAUACCGGAUAGGACCUUUCACCGCAUGGUGGGGGGUGGAAAGUUUUUUCGGUGUGGGAUGGACUCGCGGCCUAUCAGCGUGUUGGUGAGGUAAUGGCUCACCAAGGCGUCGACGGGUAGCCGGGCUGAGAGGGUGACCGGCCACACUGGGGCUGAGACACGGCCCAGACUCCUACGGGAGGCAGCAGUGGGGAAUAUUGCACGACGGGCGCAAGCCUGAUGCAGCAACGCCGCGUGCGGGAUGACGGCCUUCGGGUUGUAAACCGCUUUUAGUAAGGAAGAAGCCUUCGGGUGACGGUACUUGCAGAAAAAGGACCGGCUAACUACGUGCCAGCCGCCGCCGUAAUAC
rnacentral:rRNA from 1 species